AAUAAAUGUUAUUGGACGAAAAAUCUUAUUGGAUUUUUCUGGAAUUUUUAGAAAUUUUUCGGGAUUUAAACGGGCUCCGUAUGAUCCGUUUUGAGAGCAUGGAUUUCGGGUACAGAGGAGGCAUGUUUGGAACACCAUUUAAGUGGGAGUUGAUUAAGGAGAAAACUUUGAGUUUAAUUAAAUUAAACCUAAGUGUUUAAAUAAGCCCUAAUUCCCGAUUUCCUCCUCCUUCACACGGUUUUCCUUUCUCCCGAGCCUUCUCUCGCGAUUUCUUCUCGCACGAUCGCCGGUCGCCAUGGACUCACCGCCGGCAACGAUCCCCUCCUCCAGCGUACCUCGGUUGAGCUUUCCUCCUCUCUGUCUCUCUCUCGUGCCGCCGUGGUCCGUUUCUCCCCGACGCUUCUUCCUUCCUCUCUCGUGCGGAUGAAUUCGACACCGACGGAGAGAUUCUUCCCUGACGAUCCUAUUCUCGCCGAGUCGCCUGAGGGAGAGCAUCGGAUCUCGACGGUAUCAACUAUCUCUGGAGGAGCGACCACCUUCUCGGCCACUCGACCAUUCCUUGCGCGCGGUGGACAGCGAUCGGGGGGGGGGGGGGAAUUCGAUCUAGGGCACAACAAGGUUUGGGAUCGCAACGCCCUCCUAGCCGAUUGACCACCGUCAAUCCUCCUCCUGGAUCCGAUCACUGGUGUAUGCUCUGUAUCUCCCCACCAGAUGGAUUGAAUCGGGUGAUCAACCUUGAGGAAGCAUUGGAUCAAUAUGUGGUGGACCUUCCUUGUUGCCGACCAUUGCCAGUUCUACUUCUUCAAGCUGUGCAUGCCUCGGGUGAAGAGGACUUGGAUUCGAGGCGAGCGUCUCGACGCGGGUGGGAUUUAUCUUAUCAUGAUCGACAUAUUUAAGGCGGGUAUUUCUUCCUUGCCUCUAUGUAGAUUUUAUUGAGCUUAGUGCAUGGUUUUAUGUGAUGGUUUAGGAUGCUUUAUCUUA